rnacentral:tRNA from 2 species
GCCGCCGUGGCGCAAUUGGCAGCGCAACGCACUUGUAAUGCGUAGGUUAGGGGUUCGAGUCCCCUCGGCGGCU